ensembl:lncRNA
AUGGAGUCAAAUGCUUCACAAAGUCAGUUUAGGAACAAAACAGCAGGUGUCAAAUGGCCAGUAGUGAAAAGAAAGGUUUGGGCUGGAAUAUCAGGAGUUGGAAGAGGUGCAAUGAAGAUGGACAAGGUUGCUGGCGAGGAGCAGAAAAAAGAGAUAAUCCAGGUCAAGAGGGAAAUGGGCAGAGGGAGAAAACUGAAUAAUAAUACAACUGUAACAGAUCUUGAACUGAGACUAAGGAUAGACAAACAAAGUGGAGAUGGGAGCAAAAAAGUGGAAACAGCUACAGGAGUUGUAGCAAUGGCAAAAGAAGAGGAUAGGAGAGGAAGGAAGACUGAAGGUGGGAAUGGAAAGAUGAUCGUUCAGAAGGAAAAGGAAGAAAAAAAGAAGAAGCAGCUGUUUAAAACUCGACCAAAAGCUACAGAAAGUGGAAUACAAGGGCAAAAUGAGGUAAAGAAUAAACUUACAAGAACUGCCAGUAAACAGUCUUUCAGUAUUGAGGACUACCUGAAGCUCCUGAAGUUACUAAAGAUUAAUCUGCCCAAUGGAGUCCUGAAUCAAAAAGUCAUCCAGCACUCUGCAGACCCAAACGUCAUACAGGAUGCUCAGGCUAUAAUUAAAGACCUGGAAAAUUUUAAAAUUAAGUUUAUUGCCUCCCCUCGCCUGGGAUGCCGUGAGGUUAAGCAUGCCCUGAUUCUGAAAAAGAGAGGGAAUAUUCAGGAAAUCACUAGGAUCAUAUUUUUUGAAAACUCCAAAGAUUCAGAGAAAACACUAAAGGAGAACUGGGAGAAAAAUGUGUCCAAUACUGGCCAUGGAUUCAGAAUAAGGGACAGAUAUAAAACCACACCUAUCUGCACACCUACCAUGUACGCUACAGCAGAAACAAGGAGCUGGAGACGUUUAGAGCCAGGAGAAGACCUUGCAAGGAUCACAGACGGUAAGAGGGUGAAUGUUCAAGAACUUGAGAAGAUGGAAUACUCUGAUGAAUCCAAGUUCAACCAGGCACAGCCAAAUCCUCAGCGGUUUGGACAUUUUUCACGGAACCCAAACGAUGAAAUGGAAUGCCUCAAAUUCUUCCACGAACAGAAAGAGAUUACAUCAAACUAUGAAAAACUGACCUACACCAAAGGCAACAAGGUGGAAUUUGGGUUUCUCACAGGAAACCUGGACUUUCUAGUGGAGGCCAAACACAAAAGCACAAAACCCAGCACAUCACACAUGGAAAAAAUCGUCAUAGAAUGUAAAGGGACAACUGGGGACAUGGUGGGCAAACUGUUCACCAAACCCAGUAAUGGAAGUCGUCAAGCUCAGUUCAUUGAGACCCAUGAGUACUGUUACCAAACACAGGCCUACAUGUACAUACUGAAAAGAGUGAUGCCAGCUCCCACUGCAGUCAGAGCUGUGAUGGUGGUCAGACAUUACCACAGCGACAGCAGCAGAUCCAGAGAUUUCUACUGGAACUACCUGAAGGAGGAUAACACCAAGCAUCAAAUUGAUGGGCUAAGAAUUUACUGCCAGGAGGAGGUGCUGGCUCGAUACCUGGCUGUGCUCAGUCUCAUCUACCAGAGAGAGGCUGCUUCGUUGUAA